UACGUGGAAGACUAGUGUUAUUCAUCUUUCAUAGGUUUAAAGGGUACCUAGAUGGUAUUUCUAGCCCAGUAAGAGGGUACGGAUUUACUAGAGUUUAAUGUAAGAAGAAAAAAUAAAGAAUGAACCCGCCACUAAUCUCAUUCUUUGUAGUACUUGAAGUGUAGAGAUAAAAUUUUGUAAUACUUUAAGGAAACUGGUUAUGCGAAAGCAACCUUCUAUGUAUAAACUGACGUUGAGGGACGAAGGCUUGGGUCGCGAAUAGG
rnacentral:rRNA from 1 species